rnacentral:misc_RNA from 1 species
UUAUUUGUUAUGCUAAAAGACAUUCAUGACUUCAAGUUUAUGGGUCAGAGACCACAGUGCACAGGUGUAUGAAGGGUUUUAAAAGUGCUUGCGCACAUCUCUAAUGAUCCUUCCGCAGGUUCACCUACGGAAA